rfam:Gossypium raimondii Chr11_contig_456, whole genome shotgun sequence.
AAUCUGUGGUGCGAACAUUUUUGAAUCAACAUUUUGAAACGUUUUCAUGGCUCAUAGAAACUUUCUCCCUCUAUCUGUCUAAAGACAACGAUCUCUCUUCUUAGUUA